GAAUAUUGGUCAAUAGCCUAACGGCUGAACCAGCAACUUGGAGGAAUGUAUAGCAAUAGCUACUUGCAUCUUUGUAAAUAUGAUGCAAGAUCGACUAUGUCGAAUAAAAUUCUAGGUAGAAUUAUGAUAAUGACAUUGUCUGCCUAUGUGUCUUGACCAAAUUACGUGCCAGCCGUCGCGGUAAUACGUAGAAGACUAGUGUUAUUCAUGUUUAAUCGGUUUAAAGGGUACCUAGACGGUAAAUCAAGCCUACAAAUAAAAGAAAUGAAGGGACUAAUUUGCUAGAGUUACUUGUGAGGGGGUAUUAAAGUACUGCUGGUGUAGAGAUGAAAUUCUGUCAUACCUCUUUUCAAUAGAAAAAUAAUGGCACAGGUAUAGGCGAAGGCAUCCCCUUAUGUGAUAACUGACGUUGAGGGACGAAGGCUUUGUGUAGCGAACAGGAUUAGAUACCCCAGUAGUCAAAGCAGAAAAUGAUGAAUGUCAUAGAUUAGAUAAAUAAGUUUAUUCUAUAAAUGAAAGUGUAAGCAUUCCACCUCAAGAGUAAUUUGGCAACAUUGGAACUGAAAUCAUUAGACCGUUUCUGAAACCAGUAGUGAAGUAUGUUGUUUAAUUUGAUGAUCCGCAAAAAACCUUACCACAAUUUGAAUAUUUAUAUUUUUUUUAUUGUUUUAUUUUUAAUUUUCUUAUGGUUUUCUACUUGAUGAUAAAUAAAAUCAAGA
rnacentral:rRNA from 1 species